rnacentral:lncRNA from 1 species
UGUUGUGGGAGCUGUUCUAUGCACUGUAAGAUGUUUAGCAACAUCCCUAGCCUCUAUCUGGAGACAAUAGCAUUGUUCACCUCCAGUAAUGACAAUAAAAAAAUGUUGCCAGACAUUGCCAAAUGUCUUGGGGGAAAAUGACAGAGAGGGAAGGAGGGGGUAAAAAUGCUCCUAGUUGAGAACUACUGACCUAGAAAUAAAUCCUUCACAAAAGCCCAGUAUUUUAUAUAAAGUUUAUACCAAUACUUAUGGAAUACAUUGUUUGUUUUUUUUUUAAUGUUUUCAUUGCCAAUUUUACACAUGCAUGAUAACCUAUGGGUUAAUUUUAAUUACAGAAAACAUCCCUUGCUCAACACCAGAUACACACAAUUAUACUACAAAUGGAUUUAUUUCAUCUUGUGUUUUUUUUUCUCCAAGUGUUUUCAUAUCCCCUGUGUGGUUGAAAACUUCCCGAUGAAAGCACGCACAGCUGAAGAGCUGAAAGAAUUGGAAAGAGUUUUACAGCAAAAGAAGACUGAAGCAGAGUGUCUAAAACUACGGAAGGAAAUUGUAGAGGCUCAGUCUGGAGUUACAUUGGUUAAAAAGUGUCAUGAAGAGGAUGAUGAAGAAGAGGAAGAGGAAGACAAGAAAGUAGAAUGUAGCAACUUGCCCAAUUACCUGCUUGGUAGUCUGAGUACUGAUUUUGGGGUAGACACCUCUUUUUUGUCAAGCCAAUUGGAACUUCAUUCCAGAGAAGAGAAAAUCAACCAAAUUAUAUUACUGAAAGUGGGUGAAUUUUCAUUUUAUUCUCAAAAUCUCUAGAAACUCUACAUCAGGUGGUUUUCAACGGUUCACAUUGAAAACUAAUGCCAAUCAAAUGAUUUAAAAAUACAUACAGGAGGCAGGCAUGGUGGUUCACACUUGUAAUCCCAAUACUUUGGGAGGCCGAGGCAGGCAGAUCAUGAAGUCAAGAGACCAAGACCAUCCAGCUAACGUGGUGAAACCCCAUCUCUACUAAAAAUACAAAACUUAGCUGGGCAUGGUGGCACAUGCCUGUAGUCCUAGGUACUCGGAGGCUGAG